GGUACCACUUGGGUUUUAGUAAAGGCGUGGGUUGUUGGCAGUAUUGUAGUGUACAUGGAAUGUCGUUGGAAAUAGAAAAGGGGUUGAGAACGCUGAAGUCCAUUCUAGAAUUCAAUAAAGGCAGAGAGGAUAAGGAGUGGAGGAGACGGGGUGAGAAGCUGUACAGAGAAUGGACAGAAGGUGGGGCUAUUGCAUCUCCUACUGGUCUGCUUGCUGGGGAGAACGAAGAUUUGUGUGUGUCUGGUGUAAAUUGAAGUUUACGGGCGUAAAUGAAGAUUUGUGGAGCUGGUAACCGUGAGAAUGUUGAAAAAGUCGCAGGCUUGCUGAUGAGAGUUAUAUCAUAGAAUAUUGGGGGGUGUGCAUGACUGUUGGAAAAGGUGUUCAACUCUAUUAACGUAAAAUUCUGUGUGUAGAGUUAUAUUAUGAGGUUUGAACUAUACUAAUAUUGUGGAAUUACAUAAUCAACAUCUGAACAUACUUACGUUAAACAUUAAUUGAGCCACUGAGUAAUAGAUAAGAUAUACACUAGGUACGGGGCGACGGGUGUGGUCGAUGUAAGACGGGAGUGGUGUUCUAACCAAGUGCUGAGAAAUAAGGUAGAUUUAUUUUGUUCUUUUAAUUAAUUUACACAAGUACUUCCCGGUUAUUGAUUUUGGUUUGAUUGUUCAGAUAACACCACUGAAAUUAAACAGGAGGUUAAGGUAUACUAACAUUAGAAUCUGUUUUCAUUAUGGGGAACAAUGGAAGGCCCGCAGAGGGGAUUGCAGGCUGAGGUUUUUAUGUUAAAGGGACAGUGCACGUUUAUCACAGUUGUUUGUGUGUCUAAUGGCUGGGUAUCUAAGAAGUAUUUUUGGGGAGACAAUUUGGAGAAACACGAAUAAAACAUGAAACACUGAGACAAAUUAUUUGAGUUUGAGGGGAUUAUCAUAAUUAUUAGGUUUUGUUUUUGUAGUAAACGUUUGGGUUAAGGGGAUUUUCACGUUCCCAGAGACAUGGUAUUUUACAGAUAGGGGAAAAGGCAGACGGAGGGGCCCUCCGCCCGCACUGCAGAGACCUUGAAAGUUGGAGAGAGCAGAGGAGAGGUUUUGGAAAGGGGGGGCAGGACAGGCAAAGAUAACAGUUGCUGAGUGGAGACAGGGGAGAGAGUUGGACAUGUGGAAAAUGAUGGGGGCGCUCCUUCAUGAUGAUGUCAGACAUAAGGAUAAUAUACUAAUCUUACCUAAGUCAUGAUUUAGAGUAGGUAAGGUUGUUACCUGGGCAGAGCCAGGUAUCAAAAGGGGGAUGGGUAAAUGUGGACUAGGAUAGGAUGGGGCCGAUUGGAUAAGAAACUAAUAAUUAAAUAUGUAAGCUAACAAUUGGGCAUAGAAGUUAAAGAUAUAAUCAGAUAAAACAUAUGAGAAAUUGUUUGUUAACCAAGCCUGUAUGUCCAGGAUUUUAUGCAUUACAGGUGAACUACAGGUGAAGUCACUCAAUCCAGUCCCAGAGGCUUGGGGACCAUAGAUGACCCCUGGUGACAGCUAGCUGAAAGAGCUACCCAGAUUCAUAUCGCACGGCGGAAGGGUAAGACACUUUUUCACUGUCGGACAUUAAAACAGUGUUCGAGAGAAGAACUGAAUUAACAGAAUUCGGGGGCCAACUCUCGAAUGAAGUAACCCUACCUGUCCUAUCACCCCUGUUUUUGUUCAUAGAAGUGAGGAUGUGUCUGGCUCUGGCUAGUGAUGUGUAUUUUGUUCCAAAAUAAGCAUAAGAGAUCCCUAGAUCUGGUAUUUGUAAGUCGCUCUGGAUAAGAGCGUCUGCUAAAUGACUUAAAUGUAAAUGUAAAUAUAGACAAGAAGUUAGAGUAGAGAUUACAUGAUAACCGACUUCGGACAGUUCUAGGAUUGGAGAAGAGGGUAUCCUUAUAGCAUGGGGGAUCCCACAAGGGUGGAUAGGUUUUCCAUGAUAUGGGGAAACCUGGGAGCAAUGUUGAACUUUGUAAAGGUGAUGAAAUCCUACUAACCAUCAAAACUAUUAAGCUCUCUGAUGCAGGCACUCACACCCUCGGACUACAAAGGACGAGGACAGACAUGAUGGGUGUGUUUUCUAUUAAGGUACUGCCAAGACCAGAGGUAACCGGACACACUCCUCUACCACCACUGUGUUAAAAAUACCAUUCAGGUAAUUAAUGUUAGAGACUAUUCGGCUAUUGAUCAAUUAGGAACUGAGACUGGUUUUGAUAGUAGGGACAAUUUGUGGCUGUCUUAUAUGAGGUACACAGCUAAAACCCUGAGAGGAAAGGACUGCAUUAUUUGUAGUCAUGCUAGACCUGUUCUGGCUACACACCCAUUUGCUGUAGGAGAAGGAGAGGGGUGGUUGUGUAUUCUGGGAAGUUUUUACCAGGUUAAGCCCAAUUCAACCCUCUGUUCCUCUUUGAGCCUUGUGUUUCCUGCAGUACCUCCUCAUCGGGCCAUUUGGGGUGUUGAGGCAUGGGGGAAAUUGCAGUUGCAUCACGGGUACAGGUAAUGGCAUUGAUUAUGGGAGAUUGCCUGAAGCUGAUUGCAGUAGUAACAUAACCAUUAAUUCCACUUGGCCAGUUACAGGCUGAUGUGAGGUGGAUGAGUGGAGCCAAGAGUGCUGAGACCCAUUCUUAGAGGAGAAUGGCAAGGUAUGUGUGCUCUGACCAGUUUGAUAAUUCCACUGACCAUUGUUGAUGUUACUGCUGAACAGCUGUUGGGUUCUGUAUCCAAGGGACCUGAAAACAUUCCAUCCCAUGGGAGACAUAGAUGUAGUACUCCAUGGACAGAGAAUGUAGUUGACAUAAACACUAACCUGUUGGGUGUGCCAGUGGGGGUUCCUCAUGAGUUUCAGGCCUUGGGUAGGAAUGAUGGACUCUGGCACUUACUACCUACUAUGGGUCCAGCCAUGGUGGAUGCUAGACAGACUGCAUGGAUUAAUUAUAUCUACUAUAAUCAACUCCCGUGAUGCACUCACUGGUAUGUCUGAACAGCUUGGGGCCACAUUUGGGGUUUCCAGACAGAAUAGACUUGCCUUGGAUAUGCUUCUUGCCAGUCAGGGGAACGUUUGCAAGAUGUUCGGUAAACAAUGUUGCACGUAUAUUCCUAAUAAUACCAGUCCAGAUGAUAUCUAGGGCGGGCUUGAUGCACUAUCUGAUAAGAUGAGGUCCACAGGGGGGGUGGAGGAGUCUGUUCUCUUGGCCUGGUUUGGUAAGUACACUGAUAUGAUGGUUACUGGAUUUCUGACCCUAAUUCUUGUAUUAUUUGUUAUUGAUGUGAUGUGCUGCUUGCAUCAUACCGUGUUCUAAGAAAUAUGUUACAGAUAUGGUGAAGGCUUCAGGCAUGUUGCCUUUGCUUGAUGCUCCAGUUGGAGAUGCCGAUACGGAAGCAUGCUUUCAGGAGAGGAUGGGACUGACUGAGGAUGACCCAUGGUAUGCUGUGGGUGAGGUAGUAGAAUAAUUUUACACCACCACAGUUCCUUGUUAUAAAUUUUUAUGAUAGGUUUUCUUUCCAGUAUGUUUGUUCUCCCUGUUGUAAAGGUUUAGAGUCCCUGGGUGGCAAGGAGCCCACCUGGUACAGGAUAGGAGUAGCUGAGAGGACCAGAUGGUUUCUAAUAAUUCUUUCCUCUGUUUUCCAUGACCAAAGUUUUAUCCUACAUCUUACAUGUCAAUAACAAUAAAGUUUUAUCCUGUUUUUGAUAAGUGACACCCUUGUGGGUGACAAAAGGGGGAAACGCAUAUAACAAUAGACAUAUAUCACUUGUUAUUAAUAAUAAACUUUUUAUUAUUUUCAUGAAAUGCUAUGACUGCUGAAAUAAAGGAUAAUGAGUGUCAAAAGGGGGACUUAAAUUUCACACCCUUGGGGUUAUUUUACAUUAUAGCCAUUACCAUAUAUAUGAUUGAAUAUUAUCUGCUGUUGCCUUGGGUGGAUGUGUGUAUGUGUUAUGUUCUCUAGCUGAUUUGAAACAUUGUUAAAAGUAUCAGGGCCAUGGAACUUUCUCAUGCUGGGAAAAUACAGAAGGGAGGGCACAUUCAGAGCGUGGGGUUGCGAGAACAAGCAGUCUUUUGUUAGAUAACAGGAGCCAGGUUCGAGAUAACGGUAUGGAGCAUGAGACCCAUCUUUUAGUUUUUGCAGCCAUUUUAGUGUUGUGCGGCUGCGGUUGCAUUCCAUGUAUCCGGUCCCUUACUGCUAGAGUUAUCUCCAGAGCUAUUGACCCUUCUUCCCUUCCCAGAUGUAUCCUCUGCUUGCUAAUGACCUGCCAGAGUUUGAGGAUGAGGUGGAGAAUACCCAUUAGAGCGUGUCACAUCUCUUUGGAGAUGUGAAGAGAGGGUAUCACAACUUUUUCCUGCUGGAAAAGGUUGGCUUAUGUGGACAAACAUUUUACUUAUAGCUUAGAGCUGUUGUUCUCCGCAAUUGUUAAAUGAGGGUUGUAAGUUCCUAGGUGGCUGGUAGCCAACUUAGUACAUAGUGGGAUUGAGUGGAGAACUUGGUGGUAAUACAUAUACAUCCAUUUCUUUUUAAUGUUGUGCCUUUUUCAUAGCCCCUUUGGGAAAAGUUUUUUUGUAUCAGAAUCUAGUUAGGUUGUGUCACGUCUCUGGGGAGACGUGAAGAGAGGGAUUUGUAGAGGACUGCUAAUUCCUAUGUAGGUGACAUUACACUACUAUAGCUGAGACACAUAGUAAAACAGGUCGGGCCCCAUACAGGAUAUUUCUCACACACACACUCACUGUAAUCAUCCAGAACACUGUCACAACAGGAUACUCCUAGCCACAGGUGCUAGCCGGCAGUUCGGCCACAACUCCCCUGAAGAUAGGGACGCACACACUUUACACACUGACCCCAGAAGACAGGGACGACGCACAUACAGUACACACAUAGCUGCCGAGGACACCCAGAUAAGACACCCACAGAUUGGCAGAAAGCCUAGACUUAGUGACUGAAGAUAGCGCACACACCAGAUCUCCUUUUCAGCUGAACAUGGUGUGACGACCAAGAACAGGCAUGGCAGGAUUCUACGAUGACGGACAGACAACAGAGCCAAUGCCGGAUGACUACACCCCAGCCUGAUCCAAUCCGAAGAUCCGAUCUCCUAGAUAUCAACCUACUUUCUGUUCUGUAUAUGAAGCUUGUACCCAUUGUUAGCUAGUGCCUUUUUGCUAGUCUCUGAUGAGCUAACAGAGGGGCCCGUAUAUACGCUGUACCAGAUAUCUCCACUCUGAAAUAAACCUGUCGCUUGUCGUACAAUCUA